rnacentral:lncRNA from 1 species
CUCAAGGGUUAAUUCAGGAUGACUGGACCUGCAGGAAAGGGCCAGAAUUGAGAACCUCUGCCCUACAUAGAGGCCUGUGCCAGGUAUUUGUUGAAAUUCCACACUCCCCGCAGGGAGAGCGGUCCACUCACAGCUCUCCCCUUGGAUUUCCUGAUAACCUGGCUCAGUACUAGUUACUCUAAAACACUCUGAAGUUACCAUUGACCUCCUUCUCUCAACGGACGGGAACUCAUCUUGGG